AUAUGUCAUAAAUCAAAGGGUCAUAAAUCAUUUUACUACUCAUGAUGUAAUAAAGUUAAGUUAAACAUACUAAAGUAAAAUAAUUUGAUGUAAACCAACUAAAUUGUGUUGACCCAACUCAACUGAUUUAUUUUGAAUGAACUAAAUGAAAUUGCGUGUAAAAAAUUUAUGGGUUGUGCUUUUCUGCUCCAGAACUGGUUUAGCACCGCUUUCGCAGGCUCUGAUGAAAAAAACAUUUUUAUUUGUACAGUUAUGGUCCAAAAAGUAUUUUCAGGGCAAAUUGGAUGUCACCAUCAAACUAUAGAAACAUAACUCAUGCACAAGAUCGAGACAAGCUGUUUUGUAUUUGUGCAAUCAGUGAUGCUGACAAUGGAAAUGCUAAGAAGAAUGUUAAUUCAGGGUUUAUGAAUGUACAGUGUGAAACUUGUUUAGUUAACAUGUUUGAAAAUACUUGUACAAGUACAAUGAUAUUACCAUAGUACUCUUUGUAGUGCUUUACUGUAGUUGCCAUGAUAGAUGAAUAUGGUUAUCAUUCACUCCUGUGGUGUAUGUAAUAGUACUAUAGUAUCACUAUCAUCUUAUGGUUUUGGGUUAGAGUUAUGUGGCCAAACAGUGGAGACACGUGUUGAUCUGGGCACUGAAUCAAGCAUGUGUUGACUGAGCAAUAGUUCCUGUGGUCUUCUGUUUUGUUUGCGCAAUCACUAGGGUUUAUAAGGGAGAGCUGGUUAAUGACAGGCUUAAACGGGACCUUCACCAUCCUCACACACCAGCGCUGACUAGAAAUGGCAUCAGGAAAAAAAACAACAGCAAAAAAAGUAGUGGUCAGAGACAUGUAUGAAGGGUUUGUUUUAAAAAAAAGAAAAUACAAAACUGAAAAAGAGAGAGAAAAAGAUGAAGAAAAACAAAGAAAGGAACACAGAGAACGACAGCUGAACGAACACCCAGAUGUUCUCUUCACAAUUCAUAGAAAAGGAAAACUGCAUGUUCUGCUCUUCAGACCCACGAAUGACAGCUGGUGGAUAAGAACACUUAAAGAUGGAUAUCCUGGCAUCUUUUCUCAGUGGACUUUUCAACAUGCUGAUGACCAGCCGAUUCGACAUGUGAUGAAUCUCUCUGGUAAACAGGAUUUGUUGGAAGAAUUCUGUGAUGAGUUUCCAAACAAUCGUUUGAUGUCUUUUGACAAUUUGGAGGAAGAUGAAGAGCUGAGAGCAACAAUACAAGAGCUGGAAGCAAAAAUAAAAGAUCUAAAAUUAGAAAACAAACUUUUGAAACGCCAAUAAAGAAGCGCCGCCAUAAACACAAGGUACAACAUUCAAUGCAGUUAUAUUCUUUCAAAACAGCAAACAUUGUAGAAAUGCUUCAUAAAUUGUUCAUAGUCAUAUCAGACAAAUGUGAGUUGAAUGUUGUAAGUUUGGUUUAACUGUUUGUUGCUUCCAUGUUAAAACUGUCUUUAAAAGUUGUUCUAACUCCAGUAAAACUCAUGAAUUAACAAAAUGUAGAAAAUAUACUUUGGCACCAUGCACCAGAAAUAUUCAUCAAAUCAAUAAACUGAACCAAGCUACCCGUCUCAACUUUAGCUAAAUAAACAUGAACAAAAAUGAAGUAUUACGUUUUUUUCUCUUGCCCACAGACAGCACAAAAUCUCAUCUCAACACUUUUGAUGAAUGCCUAUGCGGUUAUUAUUAUUAUUAUCAUUAUUGUCAUUUCAUCUGAAUAUCAACAUUUGUAAGAUUUAGUUAAUUUUUAAGAUAAUACUUAGUCUACUGUAAUUAAUGGGGGUAUUAUUCAAUAAUUCCAUGAAUUAGAUGAACAUUUCAGACAUCUUUGCUUUUCAUUAAUUAAACAUGUAAAUAGCCUGUAGAUAAAUCAUAUAAUUAAUUUACUUUUCAGAUUAAUUUUACUAGGAUUCUGCUUUGUCUUGGUUUUUCAAUUAUUUAACUAUAUUUUAACUAUAUAUUUAACUAAUUAUUUUAAAUAGAAUAGCUGAUUUAGUAUGUUACGUUAAUGUAAAUAUAUAUAUAUCAUAGGCGUAAUUUGCGGGUGGGACACGUCCCCACCACUUUUCACCAGGGUCGAUAUUGUCCCUACCACUUUUUGAAACAUCUUGCAGCAUGGAUGUACUGUACCUACUACACAUGAAACAUCUCCAGUUGACUAGCAAAGCAUUCAUUUCAUUGGUUUGUUAAAUAAGAGGUGAUCUGGCACUGGAACGUGUUGUUUGUGAAAUCAUGCUGGGCGUUCGUUGAUGUUGCCGCUGUUAUCAGUGGGAUGCAACUGUGCUCUCUUGGCACUCGUGCACGUGUACAUUUUAAUGAGGGAGGGGUCGGUGUAGUAAAUAAAUAAAUAUGACAUCAAAUGACAGAAUAAAAAAAAGUAUGUGAUCUAAUGAAAGUAAAAUGAAUGCAUUGGAUUUUUUAUGCUAAAACAUUUGCGCAAUCACUAGAGUUUAUAAGCGUGAGCUGGUUAAUGACGGGUUUAAACAGGACCUUCAAAUUCUUCAUGCUGACUAGAAAUGGCAUCAGAAAUAGCAGUGGUCAGAGACAUGUAUGAAGGGCUGGUUAUUGAAGAAGGACAAGAUGAAGAAAAAGCAAGAAAGCAACACAGAGAACGACAGCUGAACGAAAACCCAGAUAUUCUCUUCAGAGUUUAUAAAGAAGAUGAAGAAAUUCCGCAUGUUCUGCUCUUCAGACCCACGAAUGACAGCUGGUGGAUAGAAAGACUUAAAUAUCGAUAUUCUGGUAUCUUUGCUCAGUGGACUUACAAACAUGCUGAUAAUGAGCCGAUUCGACAUGUGAUGAAUCUCUCUGGUGAUCGGAUUCAGUUGCAGAGAUUCUGUGAUGAGUUUCCAAACAAUCGUUUGAUGUCUCUUGGUGACAAUGAUGAAGAAGCUGAAGAUGAAGAAGCUGAAGAUCUGAGAGCACCAAUAGAAGAUCUGAGAGCAAGAAUAGAAGAUCUGAGAGGAACAAUAGAAGAUCUGAGAGCAAGAAUACAAGAUCUUGAAUUGGAAAACAGAAGAUGUAGUCUACAAUGACACAAUUCAAGCAAGAGCUGCCAUAAACAUGAGAGAUGUUCAACAAAUCAUGACAACUGAGUCAAGUAGCCCGUCUCACCCUCCAGAACUUCAGCUAAAUUAUCAUCUGAAAACAUUAUUGUUCAUGUUUAAGUUAAAUCAAUGCUGAGAAAACUCACAUCAUGUAACAGUGCAAGUUGUGUUUCAUCAUCUAAUAACAGCUGUUGAGAAUUGGUUCAUGUUUACUUUAUAAUAAUAGACAUGUGAUUAUGAAUAUAACAGAAGUUUUUUUUUUCAUCUCUUCCACACAGAGAUCAUGUUUUUACCUGAAAAAUAUGAAUUUCUUGUAUUUCUCUUUCUCUGUCAUGUUCAAGCUGUGAUUAAAUCUGUCACACUUUUUAGUUUAUAUUUCUCAGGGUGUGGUUAUUGUUAAAAAUGUAUUUCUGUAUAAACACAAGCCCUAUUAAAUCAUGACUACAACAAA